CUACGGGACGCACCAGUGGGGAAUUUUGCGCAAUGGGCGAAAGCCUGACGCAGCAACGCCGCGUGAGGGAUGAAGGCCUUCGGGUUGUAAACCUCUUUCGGGUGGGAAGAAAAAAAUGACGGUACCACCAGAAGAAGCCCCGGCUAACUCCGUGCCAGCAGCCGCGGUAAUACGGAGGGGGCAAGCGUUGUUCGGAAUUAUUGGGCGUACAGCGUAUGGAGGCGGUCUGGCAAGUCAGACGUGUAAGCCCACGGCUCAACUGUGGAAUUGCGUUUGAAACUAUCAGGCUUGAGUUCGGAAGAGGAAAGCGGAAUUCCCAGUGUAGCGGUGAGAUGCAUUGAUAUUGGGAAGAACAUCGGUGGCGAAGGCGGCUUUCUGGUCCGAUACUGACGCUGAGAUACGAAAGCCAGGGGAGCAAACGGGAUUAGAUACCCGUGUAGUC
rnacentral:rRNA from 1 species